GACGAACCGUGCGAACGUUGUUCGGAAUCACUGGGCUUAAAGGGCGCGUAGGCGGGCCACCAAGUCCGGGGUGAAAUCCUCCGGCUUAACCGGAGAAUUGCCUGGGAUACUGGUGGCCUUGAGGGAGGUAGGGGCACGCGGAACUUCCGGUGGAGCGGUGAAAUGCGUUGAUAUCGGAAGGAACGCCGGUGGCGAAAGCGGCGUGCUGGCCCUCUUCUGACGCUGAGGCGCGAAAGCCAGGGGAGCGAACGGGAUUAGAUACCCCGGUAGUCCUGGCCCUAAACGAUGGGUACUAGGUAGUGGACUUGACAUGGGUUCACUGCCGGAGCAAAAGUGUUAAGUACCCCGCCUGGGGAGUAUGGUCGCAAGGCUGAA
rnacentral:rRNA from 1 species